CGAGACUAGGACGUUGAUAGGUUGGAUGUGGAAGCAUAGUGAUAUGUGAAGCUGACCAAUACUAAUUGCUCGUGAGGCUUGACUAUACAACACCCA
rnacentral:rRNA from 1 species